rnacentral:rRNA from 1 species
AAGCGGCAACAGCUCAAAUUUGAAAUCUGGCCCUCGGGUCCGAGUUGUAAUUUGUAGAGGAUGCUUUUGGCGCGGUGCCUUCCGAGUUCCCUGGAACGGGACGCCUUAGAGGGUGAGAGCCCCGUACGGUUGGACACCAAGCCUCUGUAAAGCUCCUUCGACGAGUCGAGUAGUUUGGGAAUGCUGCUCUAAAUGGGAGGUAAAUUUCUUCUAAAGCUAAAUAUUGGCCAGAGACCGAUAGCGCACAAGUAGAGUGAUCGAAAGAUGAAAAGCACUUUGAAAAGAGGGUUAAAUAGCACGUGAAAUUGUUGAAAGGGAAGCGUUUGCGACCAGACCUUUUCCUAGGGGAUCAUCCGGUGUUCUCACCGGUGCACUUCCCUAGGUUCAGGCCAGCAUCGGUUUCUGUAGGGGGAUAAAAGCUCUGGGAACGUAGCUCCCUCGGGAGUGUUAUAGCCCUCUGCAUAAUACCCUUACGGGGACCGAGGACCG